UACGUAGGGACCAAGCGUUGUUCGGAUUUACUGGGCGUAAAGGGCGCGUAGGCGGCAAUUCAAGUCAUCUGUGAAAUCUCCGGGCUUAACUCGGAACGGUCAGAUGAUACUGCUUUGCUAGAGUGCGGAAGGGGCAAUCGGGAUUCUCGGUGUAGCGGUGAAAUGCGUAGAUAUCGAGAGGAACACCAGAGGUGAAGACGGGUUGCUGGGCCGACACUGACGCUGACAGCGCGAAAGCCAGGGGAGCAAACGGG
rnacentral:rRNA from 1 species